rnacentral:rRNA from 1 species
UACAGAGGGGGCCAGCGUUAUUCGGAAUUAUUGGGCGUAAAGAGCGUGUAGGCGGCCAGGUAGGUCCGUUGUGAAAACUGGAGGCUUAACCUCCAGCUGUCGAUGGAAACCAUCUGGCUAGAGUCCGGAAGAGGAGAGUGGAAUUCCUGGUGUAGCGGUGAAAUGCGCAGAUAUCAGGAAGAACACCCGUGGCGAAGGCGGCUCUCUGGGCCGAUACUGACGCUGAGGAGCGAAAGCGUGGGGAGCGGACAGG